rnacentral:rRNA from 1 species
GAUGAACGCUGGCGGCGUGCCUAAUACAUGCAAGUCGAGCGAGCAGACGAGGCGCUUGCUCCUCUGACGUUAGCGGCGGACGGGUGAGUAACACGUGGAUAACCUCCCUAUCAGACUGGGAUCACUUCGGGAAACCGGCGCUAAUACCGGAUAAUAUAUUGAACCGCAUGGUUCAAUAGUGAAAGACGGUUUUGCUGUCACUUAUCGAUGGAUCCGCGCCGCAUUAGCUAGUUGGGAAGGUAACGGCUUACCAAGGCAACGAUGCGUAGCCGACCUGAGAGGGGGAUAGGCGACACUGGAACGGAGACACGGUCCAGACUCCUAAGGGAGGCAGCAGUAGGGAAUCUGACGCAAUGGGCGAAAGCCUGACGGAGCAACGCCGCGUGAGUGAUGAAGGUCUUCGGAUCGUAAAACUCUGUUAUUAGGGAAGAACAAAUGUGUAAGUAACUAUGCACGGCUUGACGGUACCUAAUCAGAAAGCCACGGCUAACUACGUG